AGCCUCCUGGUGCUCCCCACAGGCUGUGUUCUUACACUGACUGCAUAGAGAGAAGAGGUGACACACACAUACCCACAGACACCCCACCCAGGCCCUGAGCCUGGUCCGUAUUGUGAAGGGGGAGACAGCA
rnacentral:snoRNA from 1 species